UACGUAGGAUACAAGCGUUGUCCGGAUUUACUGGGCGUAAAGCGCGCGCAGGCGGCAGUGUAAGUAAGGUGUGAAAUCUCCCUGCUCAACGGGGAGGGUGCACUUUAGACUACACAGCUAGAGGUCGGUAGAGGGGGGUGGAAUUGCUGGUGUAGCGGUGAAAUGCGUAGAGAUCGGAAAGAACACCAACGGCGAAAGCACUCUGCUGGGCCGACACUGACACUGAGAGACGAAAGCUAGGGGAGCGAAUGGG
rnacentral:rRNA from 1 species